rnacentral:rRNA from 1 species
UACAGAGGUCUCGAGCGUUGUUCGGAUUCAUUGGGCGUAAAGGGUGCGUAGGCGGUCUCUCAAGUCUGGCGCGAAAGCCCAAGGCUCAGCCUUGGAAGUGCGCUAGAAACUGAGAGGCUUGAGUGCCGGAGGGGAGAGUGGAAUUCCCGGUGUAGCGGUGAAAUGCGUAGAUAUCGGGAGGAAUACCGGUGGCGAAGGCGACUCUCUGGACGGCAACUGACGCUGAGGCACGAAAGCGUGGGGAGCAAACAGG